UUUUAUCAAACACAAGUCUUGACUCUUCCAACUCUCUUGCCUCAAUAAAUUUUAAAAGUUUUUUCGUGGGGACUACACGGACUCGUCUUUUAUGUUAAAAUCACCAAAACAAACAAUGUAUUGAAAGGAUUAUGGAAUAUUGACUCGGUUGAAAAAUAAAAUAAAAUAAGACUUUGCAAUUAAUAUGUGAAGAGAAGGUGUAAUGCGAGAAGACAGAAGCAUGGUUAAUUUUUCUGCUGUUUGAUCUGCAUCAAAUGCGUGUUCAUUUAAUGUCAAUAUCUCUAUGUAAUAUAUAGGAAAUGGUCAAUAUAUAUGGUAUGGUGUCG
rnacentral:lncRNA from 1 species